rnacentral:rRNA from 1 species
GACGAACGCUGGCGGCGUGCUUAACACAUGCAAGUCGAGCGGUAAGGCCUUUCGGGGUCCACGAGCGGCGAACGGGUGAGUAACACGUGGGUGAUCUGCCCUGCACUUCGGGAUAAGCCUGGGAAACUGGGUCUAAUACCGGAUAUGACCUCCUAUCGCAUGGUGGGUGGUGGAAAGAUUUAUCGGUGCAGGAUGGGCCCGCGGCCUAUCAGCUUGUUGGUGGGGUAAUGGCCUACCAAGGCGACGACGGGUAGCCGACCUGAGAGGGUGACCGGCCACACUGGGACUGAGACACGGCCCAGACUCCUACGGGAGGCAGCAGUGGGGAAUAUUGCACAAUGGGCGAAAGCCUGAUGCAGCGACGCCGCGUGAGGGAUGACGGCCUUCGGGUUGUAAACCUCUUUCAGCAGGGACGAAGCGCAAGUGACGGUACCUGCAGAAGAAGCACCGGCUAACUACGU